GACGAACGCUGGCGGCGUGCCUAAUACAUGCAAGUAGAACGCUGAAGGAGGAGCUUGCUUCUCUGGAUGAGUUGCGAACGGGUGAGUAACGCGUAGGUAACCUGCCUGGUAGCGGGGGAUAACUAUUGGAAACGAUAGCUAAUACCGCAUAAUAGUAGAUGUCGCAUGACAUUUGCUUAAAAGGUGCAAUUGCAUCACUACCAGAUGGACCUGCGUUGUAUUAGCUAGUUGGUGAGGUAACGGCUCACCAAGGCAACGAUACAUAGCCGACCUGAGAGGGUGAUCGGCCACACUGGGACUGAGACACGGCCCAGACUCCUACGGGAGGCAGCAGUAGGGAAUCUUCGGCAAUGGACGGAAGUCUGACCGAGCAACGCCGCGUGAGUGAAGAAGGUUUUCGGAUCGUAAAGCUCUGUUGUAAGAGAAGAACGAGUGUGAGAGUGGAAAGUUCACACUGUGACGGUAGCUGACCAGAAAGGGACGGCUAACUACGUG
rnacentral:rRNA from 1 species